rfam:Pseudomonas alcaligenes NBRC 14159 DNA, contig: PA6007.
CUGCGUCGGCGGAACGAUUCGUCGGCGCAGUAAAGCCAGACCCCCAGCUCACAAAGCCGGGGGUCUUAUUUGAAAGAAAAUGACGACCAGCAGGGGCAUCCGGGCUGGUACCCGGACUAUCUGCGGGAUCCGUAGUGGCUUACCAGGUCGCUGCUCUAGGACUAUGAAUGGCCCAGCUACGGCUUCUACGCCGGUGGUGUCCCCUUACCGAGGGUGACCA